rnacentral:rRNA from 1 species
UACAGAGGGGGCAAGCGUUGUUCGGAAUUACUGGGCGUAAAGGGCGCGUAGGCGGCCUGUUAAGUCGAACGUGAAAUCCCCGGGCUCAACCCGGGAACUGCGUCCGAUACUGGCAGGCUUGAAUCCGGGAGAGGGAUGCGGAAUUCCAGGUGUAGCGGUGAAAUGCGCAGAUAUCAGGAGGAACACCGGUGGCGAAGGCGGUUCUCGUGGGCAAGUUACCUGACGCUGAGGAGCGAAAGUGUGGGGAGCGAACAGG